rnacentral:rRNA from 1 species
AUUGAACGCUGGCGGCAUGCUUUACACAUGCAAGUCGAACGGUAACAGGGAGCUUGCUCCGCUGACGAGUGGCGAACGGGUGAGUAAUGCGUCGGAACGUGCCGAGUAGUGGGGGAUAACGCAUCGAAAGGUGUGCUAAUACCGCAUACGUACUGAGGUAGAAAGUGGGGGACCUUCGGGCCUCACGCUAUUCGAGCGGCCGACGUCUGAUUAGCUAGUUGGUGAGGUAAAGGCUCACCAAGGCGACGAUCAGUAGCGGGUCUGAGAGGAUGAUCCGCCACACGGGGACUGGGACACGGCCCAGACUCCUACGGGAGGCAGCAGUGGGGAAUUUUGGACAAUGGGCGCAAGCCUGAUCCAGCCAUGCCGCGUGUCUGAAGAAGGCCUUCGGGUUGUAAAGGACUUUUGUCCGGGAGCAAAUGCCUGGUGUUAAUAGCAUCGGGAGCUGAGAGUACCGGAAGAAUAAGCACCGGCUAACUACGUGCCAGCCGCCGCGGUAAUAC